GACGAACGCUGGCGGCGUGCUUAACACAUGCAAGUCGAACGGAAAGGCCCUGCUUUUGUGGGGUGCUCGAGUGGCGAACGGGUGAGUAACACGUGAGUAACCUGCCCUUGACUUUGGGAUAACUUCAGGAAACUGGGGCUAAUACCGGAUAGGAGCUCCUGCUGCAUGGUGGGGGUUGGAAAGUUUCGGCGGUUGGGGAUGGACUCGCGGCUUAUCAGCUUGUUGGUGGGGUAGUGGCUUACCAAGGCUUUGACGGGUAGCCGGCCUGAGAGGGUGACCGGCCACAUUGGGAAUGAGAUACCGCCCCGAAUCCUAAGGGAGGCAGCAGUGGGGGAUAUUGCCCAAUGGGCGGAAGCCUGAAGCCGGAACCCCCGGUGCGGGAAGACGGCCUUCCGGUUGUAAACCGCUUUCGCCUGUGACGAAGCGUGAGUGACGGUAAUGGGUAAAGAAGCACCGGCUAACUACGUG
rnacentral:rRNA from 1 species